rnacentral:lncRNA from 7 species
CUCGUUGUUGCGGAUUGUCCGUCGUCCACCUGACUGCCGCCCCGCCCCGGCCAACGGGCCAAGCCAUCGCUCGCGGCUUGUGGUCUCACAUGGACACGGGAGCAGGCAAGCAGCCUGCAGCAUAGGGCAACCCUUCUCCAGUUCUCCCCCGCCUCCGGGUCUGACUGACUGCCGCGAGCCGAGCGGAGGCAAAGCUGCAAAAUGUAGAGUGAAAGAAAUGGCGAGCGUGGCCUCCCCGAGUUGUUCCGGCCUUCUCCCCCCCCCCCCC